CUACCAUGCAAAGAAAAGACAUAUAUCAACAACACUCAGUAACGCCACCGGCUUCUCUGGGCCCGAGCUCAUCUGAGAUGGACUGACGCAAAGUGGAAAAGUCUGCUGUGGUCUGACGUGUCCACAUUUCAAAUUGUAUUUGUA